rnacentral:rRNA from 1 species
UCGGCAACGGAUAUCUCGGCUCUCGCAUCGAUGAAGAACGUAGCGAAAUGCGAUACUUGGUGUGAAUUGCAGAAUCCCGUGAACCAUCGAGUCUUUGAACGCAAGUUGCGCCCGAAGCCUUCGGGCCGAGGGCACGCCUGCCUGGGCGUCACGC